GUCAGAGGAUGGAGAUGGCAAAUCAGUGUACCCUGACUGGUCCCUUCAGCUGGAGGGAUGAAGAGGCAAGGGUCAAGAUGCCACAGAGAAAGUGAAGCGGCAGGAUGCAGUGGAAGAGAGGGAACUGUGUUGAUGUACAGAGAGCACUUUGGUGGCCUUCAGCAGUGCUGGUGACCCUUGAAAAAAGCAUCAUAUCCAGAUGUCCACCAUGAUGACCACAUAUACCAGAAGAAUAAUAGGACCAGUCGCUUCUGUUGACCUUACAGAAAGCCCUUGGACGGAAGUCCACACUCACUGCCAUCCCUAUUGUGGUACCGCGCAGCCCCGAUCCCAGGACUGAGAUGGAUAUGGUACCAUUCACAGAAGAAGUGUGCUCUGGGAUGAAAGAGCAUGAAGUGCAGGUUGCCCCCUGCAGCUCCAGUUCAGGGAGACCCAUAGCAGCCCUUGGCUCUCUGGACAAGUUGCCGGAAAGUGGAUACAGACAUCAUCACUCUCUGCUCUGGGAGUGGCUGCCCACUGAGGAGCAGGACAUGUCUGCCAAGUUGUCUCUGACCCAGCAGCCGAGAGAUUCCAGAAGAGGAGGAGGAGGGAAUAGAAGAGCCAGCACCGGCCACCAGCAGUGUGAGUGCAGAGCACCAGCACUGUGAUGAGGAGGAAGACAUCCUUCAGGCCUCCCAAGGUAAAGAGCACAAGACUUCCCCCACUGCCUGUGAGGCUGGUGACAACCAGCAGCCUCCGGUGCCACUGCAGCCCAGGUGGAUGAGGCUGAGGCGCCUUCUCCACAGGCCCUGGGUGAGUCCUGCAUUAGUAAGUGAACUACAUACAUGUGGCCCCCAUUUCUGUGCGUCCAAUGCAAACUCAGUGUGACAGACACAGGACAUGUAGAGGGGACUGGUUGAAGACACUGUAACAGCUCCCAGCCAUCACUAACCCAGUUCUGGCAGGCAUCUGUUCAUUUGUUCACUUUUGCUUUUGAAGCUGGAACAGCUGUGGUGUCUUGCAGUGUUCUUGCCAAUUGCUGCUCCUGAGUACUUUGACCUUUAGUUACUGUACAAGUAUCACUACACUUGAUACACUCACUAGAGAUGAUGUUAGGGUUCCUCCACUCCCAGCCAGCAUCUCUGUCUCUUGUGGGCCUCUCUCCCAUGAAAGGUGUCAGUUCCCUGCCAUGACAUAAACACUGAGGACUGUGCCUGCCAGUAUCCUGGAGAUGCAUCUGAGCCUUGGGAGUCUCACCUUCUUGGAUGCCAGCACUGUCUUCUCUGAGU
rnacentral:lncRNA from 1 species